rnacentral:misc_RNA from 1 species
ACCCCCUCACUUACUUGUAAGUGGAGUUGUCGGCUUAUGAGCAAUCAUAUCUGAUCAAAUGGAUUAGGUUUGGAUCAGGCUGGUGGCCUGAGACACUGUGUGCUAGAGACUAGCAGUCUUAACCGACUGGUUUGUCUUCUCACGGUGCGUCUCAGGUCAUUUAAAGCUAGCCUGCAAAGGACCUUAAUUGCGCAUGGAUUUAUUUCAUGGCAACCCCCCU